AGCACUGGCUUCCCACAGUCAGAAAACACAUGUGUGACACGCAGGUUGGCUGGAGACGUGCAGGCAGCUUCAAACAUGGCAGAACCUGAUGUUUUCCUCUACCACAUACCAGCUUCCUGAGUCCAAGUCAUUCUUCCAGGAUCCAGAUACCUUUGAUGCUGGAGCAACCCGCAUGCUAUUCCUGCAACCUCCCUGCACUUGGACAGGCUCAGCAGAUGUAUCCCACAGCACCCAGUGAGGAUGCAGAGUUACACACACUUCACUCAAACUGGCAGACUUAGACACCCACAGAGGGCAGCACAAUUUCUCAGUAGUGUUGGAGAUUGAUGUGAGAGAGCACCAUGGCACUGGCACUGCCUCUGCCUUUGAAACACCAGGCUGUGCAGAGUGCUGUAAAAAUCACAUCAUGACAGCACCAACAGGAUUUGGGUCUCUGCCUUUCAAAGGACGAAUCUUUGCCAAGAAUUUAGCAAGUCUGACCACUUACCCAGCCCUUCAAAAGGAAGCAGGCAAGCCUUUGUGAAGAGGAAAAGGACACUGUUAGUACUUUGUGUGCUGGGCACAGGCUACAAAUGCUGAACACAAAGAGCUCCAGCUGGGAGUCAGAACCACCAGGAAUUUCCCCCCCUCUGUACUGCAGAGUUGAAGCACUGAUGACUCGACUUCAUUUUCCACUGAGAAGGUCCUCUUGGAAAGAAAUUCAGCCUGUUGGGAAGCAGUGUAAGAUUUGUCAGCCCCGAAAGACCCACCUGAGAAGCAAGUGGUUCCCAAGUGGUGCUUAUCUCCAGGCCCUGGCCUUGAGGCUCACUUUCCAGAACCAUCCCUGAACCCUACUAUUUCUGCUCCACCUGCUAAGUCACCAUGUCAGAGCACUGAAGCUGUGGAUCACUCCACAUGCCCUCAAAUCCUAAAGAUAACUGUUAGAAAAAAAAUUAUGAGACUCUCCCUCCAUUUAUCCUCUUGUCUCUGCCCACUCUUAACUUCUCCUUAUUUCCUCAUGAGAUUUGGUGCUCUUCCCCCUCACACCAACAUCCGCACUUUGUUUCACAUUGUGAUGGAUCUCCCCUGAACUCACCCUUCCCUCCUUUUGCACAUUUUCCACAGCUCCCUAGCUCUGUGAAGUCCAUGAAUACAACUAUUUGCUGCCAUUACUUUAAAACAACAAAGCAGAAAAAGAAGUUAUUCCUACAGUACCUUAUCCUAGGCCUACCUUGCUUGCCUGCCUGUAUAAACCAAAAGCUCCUGAGAAAGGACAGUGCACUUGGAUGAGCUAUCCAUCCUUUACUGGUUCCUUUUCUGCACUCCCCAGCCAGCCCUGGUGGGUUUUGAACAAGCCCUAGAUGUCACCCUGGACUUCACAGCUGGGGACAGGAUCCAAAGCAUUUGGUAGCUGCAGAUAAGCAAAGUAAAAUAUGUUGGAGUCAGCAUUCUUCUGUGAUCCAUGGACAUUGAGUUAAUGGGGUUCACAGCACCAUAAUGCACAAGUUGCUUGAACUAAUGGAUGUGAAUGAUUCAGAAGAACCCCAGAAAAAACAAAACCAGUCAGUUUUUCCCUUUGUUGCACUGAACGAUGCAGAGAAAGAGGGCUCCACUCAGUCCAAUGACAACUUCUAACUCCUGCUUGGAAUAGGAUGCAGUGGUCUCGUGUCAACUUUUACCACAGCUCUAGCACAAAUGAUGCUACUAUUGUAAUAAAAUUAGGGAUACCUUUGUCCUACAGUGAAUAAAGCCAGCAUUUUAAAUCAGCUAUUUCUACUUCUGAAGUAAGGCUACUUAUUUCCUACAGGAACUUACAAUUGAUUCACAAGACAUCUCAAACCACACAUAGUUACCUUUCCUAAUUUCAAAGGCAAUGUGGUCACGUCCCCAUUUAAACAUUGAGAUCAUCAGGACUGCAAUAUAUGUGGUAUUCAAGUGCAAUAAGAUUUCAGUGUAUAGAUGUUCUCCCCCUUUUCACUUUUCCUUAACAUUUAAGGUGCUAUUUUUUGCAAUCUAACACACUUCAGUCCUUUUCUCCUACUACCCCUUUCUUCCUUACUCUCAAUGACAUUUACUUCCUCUCCAGUUUUCCCUCUCUGCUUCUUCUUUGCUCAUUUUACAUUAUUUAAUGGUUUAACCAGCUCAACUUCAAUUAGCUGUGCUCUCCACCCUCCUUUCCCUGAGAUGCCUGUUUUUAUCCACCAGUACCUAGUAAAUUUCUUCACAUCUGUCCUAUCUCUUUCCACCCAGUUCUUGGAGUGGCAGCUUUAAAGGUAAUGCUGCACAUGCUGUUCUUUGUGUCUCCUGAGACUUAUGUCAGACCAUUUACUCACUGGGCAUAAAACUUCUACUGGACACCCAUGCUCACACAAGCAUCUCCUCUUCCAGGGAUCCAAGGGGGCUGGAGGUGCAGAUGUACAUCAGUCUGCUGUCUCCUCUUUCCGUGGGGCCUUGCCAGUUUUAGAAGCCAGAGCUGGGUCCACACGGACGUGUGAGAAAGUGAUUACAGGGUGGGCAGACAAAGUUCUAAGUAAGGUAGCACAUGCCAUGGUACAGGUGCUGGAGGCAGCAAAGAGACAUCAGUGCAGCCUAGCACUCAGAUUGAAUAUUAAUCCUGGAGUCCCUGGAGGCUGCUGGUCCAGUUUUCAGCUGCAGUCUGACAUAAAUUGCUGUCAACACCAGAGCAACUUAGGUAAAAUCUAGUACCUGGGCCACAAUUGAGCCUUCAGUCUCUUCUGUAAAUGUACUUUGGAAGACUUUGGUGACAGAACAGUCUUUGUGCAUUAAACCUGGAAUGUGCCUGUGCAUGCCAGGGGCAGACCUAGCAGGAUUAUGGUAGCUGGCUAACGGUGUCUGUAACUACUACUGCCAGACUUAUAAAUGGGACAGAAAUUUAAACAAGUUAAAGGGGUCUUUUUUGGGGUUUUUUUUCUUUCUUUCUUUCUUUUUUUUUUUAAGCUUCAGUCAGCUGGAACCUGAACUGGGCUGCACCCUGUCUGGUUUCACUUGCCUGUUUCUAGUAUUACUACUGACCAAAAAUACAAGUAUGAACCCUGGUAAAGUGGUCUCAGCUAAGCCUGGCUGAGAUGCUCCCCUUACAGAAGUGACACAGAUUGCAGACUCUUCUGUUCUGAAUCACUCAGGAGUGCAGCCACUGAGCAGGAAGGAGAUCUGCUUCUCUGGAUAGAGGAAAAGCAGGAGGUGCCUGUCACCUGAGAGUAAAACAAAAGCUAAAGGUCAUUGGGGUACUCGAUUAAUCAGGCAAUUUAUGAAAGGUGUGAACCAGCUUCCCCCCUUCGUGGAGUGUUUUUGGGAAAAAUAGUCAAGGAAAAUGCUACAUGUGAAAAACAGUAUCUGUGGGAUACUGGGUAACUGGGGUAGGAAAAAUACUGUUUGGAGAAAAUAACCCAAAAAAGUCUCUUAAGUGUACCUGUAGACCCCAGGGAUGGGGGCUCCUCUAUCACAACUUCAGGACUUACACUGUCAGCCUGACUCACCAGUUUUUUGAGCAGAACAAGAAAAAAGGUAAGCCAAUGAACGGACUGCCAAAGAAAACCAGAAACGACAAGCUUAUCUGACCAUGUAAAGGACAAUUUUUAAGGGUGUGGCUCACUGUUCUAUGCAGCUCAGACCUAACAGGAGAGUGAACGAUGUAUGUAAACGAGUAAAGAAAGGAAACAUGCUCCUAACGCCCUCUAAUCUCAAACCCUAGGUUUUCAAAAAAAGGUUUGUUCCUUAUUUCUGGUAUACGGAGCUCUGAAACUCUCAGAAUUUGAUAUCCUUUUAUUUUCCUGUGUCAUUUUAAAACUGAGAGGGUGGAGCUCACGUGUGGUGCCCCUCCUCUCUGCAUCCGAGACCGUACACCCGUAAAAUCCCACUUAGUGGGAUCAAGUCAUUUUGCACAAGUAGUACCCGAUGUUGCCAACUUGAUAAAACUGCAUGUGCUUUGUCGAGAAAAGGCUUCAGAAACAGGAGGCAGAAAUGGUACAACUGGGAUGACGUCCUGCAAUGGAGUGACCGUGAAGUAAUACAAAUUCUCCACGGCAUCGCAGACUGCGAGGCUGCAAGAAGAGAAUUUAAACUGAGAAAGUGGGGAGCAGCAUGCAAGAAAGUGUUCACAAUUUGAGAGUACAGUUCCAUUUGAAGGGCAUUAUGCUCAUAGACUCAGGGGGUUUUUGGAGAUUUUUUGUUGUUUUUUUUUGUUGUUGUUCUUUUCUCUUUUUUAAAUAUACUAUGUGUUUUCAACGGCAUUGAAAAUUUUUUGAUCAUGUAGCACAAUAAUAGAAAAAUUAACAGUACAGUGGUCAUCUGCAUACGCAGAGGCCCCACCAUCCAAGCAUGCAUUGAGGGAAUGGAUGCAAAAUCCUUCAUGGAAUAACAGCACAUCACGGGCAGGCACCUUCUUCCUUGUACAUACAGCGACCUGCUGUCUGAAUAAAAGCCGUGCUGGUCCAGUGCC